rnacentral:rRNA from 1 species
UACGUAGGGGGCGAGCGUUGUCCGGAAUCAUUGGGCGUAAAGAGCGUGUAGGCGGCCACGCAAGUCGGGUGUGAAAUCCCGGAGCUCAACUCCGGAACUGCACUCGAAACUGCGCGGCUUGAGGUAGGUAGGGGAGAUCGGAAUUCCUGGUGUAGCGGUGGAAUGCGCUGAUAUCAGGAGGAACACCGGUGGCGAAGGCGGAUCUCUGGGCCUUACCUGACGCUGAGACGCGAAAGCUAGGGGAGCGAACAGG